ACCAGACAUACUGAAUUACUGUGUUGUGUCUCUACAGCUGAACAACAUGAUGGAGGACCAGACAUACUGAAUUACUGUGUUGUUGUCUCUACAGCUGAACAACAUGAUGGAGGACCAGACAUACUGAAUUACUGUGUUGUUGUCUCUACAGCUGGACAACAUGAUGGAGGACCAGACAUACUGAAUUACUGUGUUGUUGUGUCUCUACAGCUGAACAACAUGAUGGAGGACCAGACAUACUGAAUUACUGUGUUGUUGUCUCUACAGCUGAACAACAUGAUGGAGGACCAGACAUACUGAAUUACUGUGUUGUUGUC
rnacentral:lncRNA from 13 species